rnacentral:sRNA from 1 species
GUUCGGGCAAGAGCGCUGCCGACAACCUGUCGGCUGCGUAAUCACCGAUAUUUCGUCUCUGGUCCUUGACCACGGAUGUACUGGCACUGGCCAUUGAGACGAUAUUGAGAAGGUCGGGAUUUCCCGGCCUUUUUCUUU